UUGCCCUAGUAACGGCGAGUGAAGCGGCAACAGCUCAAAUUUGAAAUCUGGCUCUUUUAGAGUCCGAGUUGUAAUUUGCAGAGGGCGCUUUGGCUUUGGCAGCGGUCCAAGUUCCUUGGAACAGGACGUCACAGAGGGUGAGAAUCCCGUACGUGGUCGCUGGCUAUUGCCGUGUAAAGCCCUUUCGACGAGUCGAGUUGUUUGGGAAUGCAGCUCUAAAUGGGAGGUACAUUUCUUCUAAAGCUAAAUAUUGGCCAGAGACCGAUAGCGCACAAGUAGAGUGAUCGAAAGAUGAAAAGCACUUUGGAAAGAGAGUCAAACAGCACGUGAAAUUGUUGAAAGGGAAGCGCUUGCAGCCAGACUUGCUUACAGUUGCUCAUCCGGGUUUCUACCCGGUGCACUCUUCUGUAGGCAGGCCAGCAUCAGUUUGGGCGGUAGGAUAAAGGUCUCUGUCACGUACCUCCUUUCGGGGAGGCCUUAUAGGGGAGACGACAUACUACCAGCCUGGACUGAGGUCCGCGCAUCUGCUAGGAUGCUGGCGUAAUGGCUGUAAGCGGCCCGUCUUGAAACACGGACCAAGGAGUCUAACAUCUAUGCGAGUGUUUGGGUGUCAAGCCCGAGCGCGUAAUGAAAGUGAACGGAGGUGGGAACCCGCAAGGGUGCACCAUCGACCGAUCCUGAUGUCUUCGGAAGGAUUUGAGUAAGAGCAUGGCUGUUGGGACCCGAAAGAUGGUGAACUAUGCUUGAAUAGGGUGAAGCCAGAGGAAACUCUGGUGGAGGCUCGCAGCGGUUCUGACGUGCAAAUCGAUCGUCAAAUUUGGGCAUAGGGGCGAAAGACUAAUCGAACUAUCUAGUAGCUGGUUCCUGCCGAAGUUUCCCUCAGGAUAGCAGUAACGUAUUCAGUUUUAUGAGGUAAAGCGAAUGAUUAGAGGCCUGGGGGUUGAAACAACCUUCACCUAUUCUCAAACUUUAAAUAUGUAAGAAGUCCUUGUUACUUAAUGA
rnacentral:rRNA from 1 species